rnacentral:lncRNA from 1 species
UAAAUAAAAUUACUUAAAGAAAAAACACAAAUCCGCUGUAGCAAAACUAAACUUGGCUAAUUUGUUCACCUUGGUUCGCCUCUUGGCAGCGGAAAAUACUUUUGGAUUCUUUUUUUGGUAUUUGUCGUUUUUAUAUCCAUUUCAAUCAAUAAUCAACUCCCAAGCUAUAAAUAAAAUUACUUAAAGAAAAAACGCAAAUCCGUUGUGGCAAAACUAAACUUGGCUAAUUUGUUCAUCCACGUUCGACACCUAGUAACAGAAAAUUCUUUUGAAUUAUUUUUUUUGGAUUUUUUGUUUUUUAUGUCUAUUCCAGUCACUAGUCGCCCCUCUAGCUCCAAAUAAAAUUACUUAAAAAGUAAAACACAAAUUCGUAGCAGCAAAACUAGUCUUGGCUAAUUUGUUCUUCCAGGUUGAAAAUUGUUUUUGAACUUUUUUCUUCUUUCCAAUUUUGAUAUCUAUUCCAGUCACUAAUCACCGAUACAGAUAUAAAUACAUUAUUCAAGAAAAUAGAACACAAAUCCGCUGUAGCAAAACCAAACUUGGCUAAUUUGUUCAUCCAGGUUCGACUCCUGGCAGUGGAAAAUACUUUUUGAUUAUUUUUUUGGUAUUUUUUGUUUUUAUAUCCAUUUCACAUACUAAUCGCCCCUCUAUCUAUAAAUAAAAUUACUUAAAAAAUAAAACACAAGUCCGUAGUACCAAAAGUAAUAUUGGAUAAUUUAUUCUUCCAGGUUUGAAAAUCCUUUUUAAACUUUUAUGUUCUUCCCAAUUUUCGUAUCUAUUCCACUCACUAAUCACCCAUAAAGAUAUAAAUACAUUAUUGACGAAAAUAGAACACAAAUCUGCUGUAGCAAAACUAAACUUGGCUAAUUUGUUCAUCCAGGUUUGACUACUGGCAGCGGAAAAUACUUUUUGAUUAUUUUUUUGUAUUUGUCGUUUUUUAUAUCUAUUUCACUCACUAAUCACCCCUCAAGCUAUAAAUAAAAUUACUUAAAAAAUAAAACACAAAUCUGUAGUGGCAACACUAAUUAUGGCUAAUUUAUUCUUCCAGGUUUGAAACUUGUUUUUAAACUUUUUUCUUCUUUCCAAUUUUGAUAUGUAUUCACUCACUAAUCACCGAGAAAGAUAUAAAUACAUUAUUCAUGAACGUAGAACACCAAUCCGCUGUAGCAAAACUAAACUUGGCUAAUUUGUUCAUCCAGGUUCGACUGCUAUCUGCGGAAAAUACUUUUUGACUAUUUUUUUUGUAUUUUUCUUUUUUUAUAUCUAUUUCACUCACUAAUCGCCCCUCUAGCUAUAAAAAAAAUUACUUAAAAAAUAAAACACAAAUCCGUAGCAGCAAAACUAAUCUUGGCUAAUUUGUUCUUCCAGGUUUGAAAAUCGUUUUUAAACUUUUUCCUUGUUGCCAAUUUUGAUAUCUAUUCCACUCACUAAUCUCCGAUAAAGAUAUAAAUACAUUAUUCAUGACAAUAGAAAACAAAUCCGCCUUAGCAAAACCAAACUUGGCUAAUUUGCUCAUCCCGGUUCGAUUCCUGGCAGCGGAAAAUAUUUUUUUUUGUAUUUUUUGUUUUUUAUAUCUAUUUCACUCACUAAUCACCCCUCAAGCUAAAAAUAAAAUUACUUAAAAAAUAAAACACAAAUCCGUAGUGGCAACACUUAUCAUGGCUAAUUUAUUAUUCCAGGUUUGAAAAUCGUUUUUCAACAUUUUUCUUCUUCCCAAUUUUGAUAUCUAUUCCACUCACUAAUCACCGAUAAAGAUAUAAAUACAUUAUUCAUGAAAAUAGAACACAAAUCCGCUGUAGCAAAACUAAACUUGGCCAAUUUGUUCAUCCAGGUUCGACUCCUGGCAGCGAAAAAUACUUUUUGAUUAUUUUUUUUGUAUUUUUCGUUUUUUUAUCUAUUUCCCUCACUAAUCGCACCUCAAGCUAUAAAUAAAAUUACUUAAAGAAUAAAACACAAAUCCGUAGUGGGAACACUAAUCAUGGCUAAUUUAUUCUUCUAGGUUUGAAAAUCUUUUUUAAACUUUUUUCUUCUUUCCAAUUUUGAUAUCUAUUCCACUCACUAACCACCGAUAAAGAUAUAAAUACAUUAUUCAUGAAAAUAGAACACAAAUCCGCUGUAGUAAAACCCAACUUGGCUAAUUUGUUCAUCCAGGUUUGACUCCUGGCAGCGGAAAAUACUUUUUGAUUAUUUUGUUUGUAUUUUUUGUUUUUUAUAUCGAUUUCACUAACUAAUCGCCCCUCUAGCUAUAAACAAAAUUACUUAAAAAAUAAAACACAAAUCCGUAGUAGCAAAACUAAUCUUGGCUAAUUUGUUCUUCCAGGUUUGAAAAUCGUUUUUAAACUUUUUUGUUCUUUCCAAUUUUGUUAUCUAUUCGUGUCACUAAUCACCGAUACAGAUAUAAAUACAUUAUUCAUGAAAAUAAAACACAAAUCCGUUGUAGCAAAACCAAACUUGGCUAAUUUGUUCAUCCAGGUUCGACUCCUGGCAGAGGAAAAUACUUUUUGAUUAUUUUUUUUGUAUUAUUCUUUUUUUAUAUCUAUUUCACUCACUAAUCGCCCCUCAAGCUAUAAAUGAAAUUACUUAAAAAGUAAAACUCAAAUCCGUAGGGGCAACACUAAUCAUGGCGAAUUUAUUCUUCUAGGUAAGAAAAUCGUUUUU